UUACGUUAGCUCACCAAGGACAGUUGUAGCUAAUACACCUGAGCACUUUAUAAAUCAUUUAGCUAGUAUUUUCUUUACUGCAUAACAAUAUUCUCUCUUGAAAUCUGAGUUCUUUGAGUUUCCCAGCCAUAGCCUGCCUAGGCUAUAUGUCUGUGAUCGAAAUCAAAUCAAGAAUGUGCUGGAAAUCUCAUUACUACACACAUUCUCUCAAUUCUCCAUAAUAACAUGAAUACCUCCAAUAGGCAACUACUAUCGCCAUCAGUUCAACUGAGUAUACUGGCAGUUCAUCUGUUAGUCUUCUACAUAUCUUCACAUCAAAUUCAGAAACGUAAACACCUGAUUCUGUGCGCCCACUAUCUGGGUCCUUGGAUCCAUCUGUGAAAGUGGUUAGAUCAAGAACAAGAUCUGGGAGUAAGCAUGGAGGAACAUUCCCUAUCAUCACAGAAGGGCCAACCUCUAACUCCUUCAAACCACUCUCAUCAGCAAGCUUUCCAACUGUCCAACCAAAACCACUGCCUUGUCUAUUAGUAUUCCCAACAGUCAUCUAGAACUGUAGCAGUGGGAUGCUCAACCUCACAGCCUUUCAACCUAACCCAAUAAGCUAAUGAUUUUUUUUACGCCAUAUAUCCAAAGGCAUCUCACCUGCCUCCACUAUUAAGACGCAUACAGAUGUUAAUUCACCAGAUGUUGAUUCACCAAUUCAUAUCCUUAAAGUAUUCAGACCCCUUAACUUUUUCCACAUUUUAUUAUGCUACAGCCUUAUUCUAAAAUGUAUUAAAUAGUUUUUUCUCUUAUCAAAACAGGUUUUUAGACAUUUUUGUAAAUGUACAAAAAAAAAGGAAAUAUCACAUUUACAUAAGUAUUUAGACCCUUUACUCAGUACUUUGUUGCAACACCUUUGGCAGCGAUUACAGCUGUCUUCUUGGGUAUGACGCUACAAGCUUGGCACACCUGUAUUUGGGGAGUUUCUCCCAUUCUUCUCUGCAGAUCCUCUCAAACUCUGUCAGGUUGGAUGGUGAGCGUCGCUGCACAGCUAUUUUCAGGUCUCUCCAGAAAUGUUAAAUCAAGUUCAUGUCCAGGCUCUGGCUGGGUCACUCAAUUACAUUCAGAGUCUUGUCCCAAAACUACUCAAGCAUUAUCUUAGCUGUGUGGGUUGUUGUUCAGUUGGAAGGUGAACCUUUGUCCCAGUCUGAGAUCCUGAGCAGGUUUUCAUCAAGGUCUCGCUGUACUUUCCUCCGUUCUUCUUGCCCUCGAUCCUGACUAGUCUCCCAGUCUCUGCUGCUGAAAAACAUCCCCACAGCCACCACCGUGCUUCACCGUAUGGAUGGAAUUGGCCAGGUGGUGAGCGCAACGUUUGGCUAUCAGGCCAAAGAGUUAAAUCUUGGUUUAAUCAGACCGGAGAAUCUUGUUUCUCAUGUCUGAGAGUCCAUUAGGUUCCUUUUGGCAAACUCAAGUGGGCUGUCAUGUGCCUUUUACUGAGGAUUGGCUUCCUUCUGGCCACUGUACCAUAAAGCCCUGAUUGUUAUCUCAUCUCCAAAGAGGAACUCUGGAGCUCUGUCAGAGUGACCAUCGGGUUCUUGGUCACCUCCCUGACCAAAGUCCUUCUCCACCGAUGUGUGCCUUUCCAAAUCAUGUCCAAUCAAUUGAAUUUACCAUAGGUGGACUCCAAUCAAGUUCUAGAAACAUCUCAAAGAUGAUCAAUGGAAACAGGGUUUUUCCUGUUUUUGCUUUGUCAUUAUGGUGCAUUGUGUGUAGAUUGAUAAGGAAAAACAUGAAUGUAAUAUAUUUUAGAAUAAGGCUGUAAUGUAAUAAAAUGUGCAAAAAGUAAAGCGGUCUGAAUACUUUCCAAAUGCACUAUAUAUACCGGAUUGGAAAAGUUAGAGGUCAGUGCUAUUGGUCUAUAACUAUCAGCACAUGAAGAGUCCUUGCCAGGCUUUACAAAAGGUAAUAUUACAGCACGUUUCCAACCAGAAGGUAUAACCCCCUCACUCUAAAUCGCAUUAAAUAAUCCCAGGAGAACAUGUAUGAUCUCAUCAGGUAGAUGCUUAAAUGAUGCAUAGCACAACUGAUCAUGACCUGGGGCUGUGUAUCCACAGCCUAUUAAGGCUGAACGCAUCUCAUGUAUGGUAAAAAUAGCAUCCAAAGAAAAGUUAACAGUAUCCCUUAUACACAUUAACACGAGCAUUUCAAAUCUCACACCUGCAUUGCUUAUAUACUUCACUCAAAGUAACACCACUAUGUACCCUAGCAAAUGUUUUCCCCAACAAGUCAGCUUUUUCUUUAUCAGUUGUUUGACCCACAAUCAAAACAGGAAUUCGAGUGGACUUCCUUCUUCCAGUCAUCUUCUUCAACAUAGACCCUACAUCCCCCAGCUCAGUACCCCUGCCUAUUGUAGAGCAGAACUGUCUCCAUGCAUUUAUUGUACAUUAUUGACUGUGCGUACUAAAGCUCUCUUUCUUUGGAAAUCAAGUAGAUUCUCAGGAGUCAUAUUCCGACGCAACACUCUGUAAUCCCUAUUUCUUUCUCGAAUAGCCGCAGUGCACUCUUCAGUCCAUCAAGGCGCCACCUUCCUUUUCUCACCCACUUCACUCACUGGUACAUAUUUGCAGCACUCAAAAUCAGAGAGGUCACAGAGGCAGCACAUACAUCAACCGGCCUCUCUAAAGACAACUUGUCCAACAGACUUUAAGCAAUGAACACCAAACUUUUCCAAGUCUGCUUCAUGAAAGCCCCAUCUUCUGAAUGGUACUCUAUCUGGAAUAGUAUUAUCAAAGGUCAUGGUAUACGAAAUCUAUAAAUGAUCACUUCCAACAGUAGAAUCAUUCUUUCCAUACACACAUACAGUAGAUGCAAUAGAGUUAUAGAAGCCAGUCCAGGCAGGAUGUAACCUCUAACAACAUUAACUCUUGUAAAACAUCCAUUGUUAAGACAUACUAAUGCUUCCAUCAUAUCUUCCACAAUAGUACCAUUAGUAUCUGUAUGUUUGCUUCCCAAUAAACUACUG